rnacentral:rRNA from 1 species
CCUACGGGAGGCAGCAGUGGGGAAUUUUGGACAAUGGGGGCAACCCUGAUCCAGCAAUGCCGCGUGAGUGAAGAAGGCCUUCGGGUUGUAAAGCUCUUUUGUCAGGGAAGAAACGGUGAUCUCUAAUACAGAUUACUAAUGACGGUACCUGAAGAAUAAGCACCGGCUAACUACGUGCCAGCAGCCGCGGUAAUACGUAGGGUGCAAGCGUUAAUCGGAAUUACUGGGCGUAAAGCGUGCGCAGGCGGUUAUAUAAGUCAGAUGUGAAAUCCCCGGGCUCAACCUGGGAACUGCAUUUGAGACUGUAUGGCUAGAGUGUGUCAGAGGGGGGUAGAAUUCCACGUGUAGCAGUGAAAUGCGUAGAUAUGUGGAGGAAUACCGAUGGCGAAGGCAGCCCCCUGGGAUAACACUGACGCUCAUGCACGAAAGCGUGGGGAGCAAACAGGAUUAGAUACCCUGGUAGUCCACGCCCUAAACGAUGUCUACUAGUUGUCGGGUCUUAAUUGACUUGGUAACGCAGCUAACGCGUGAAGUAGACCGCCUGGGGAGUACGGUCGCAAGNUUAAAACUCAAAGGAUUGACGG